GAUGGGCAUGCGUGCCAUUAGCUGGUUGGUGGGGUAACGGCCCACCAAGGCUACGAUGGCUAGGGGGUCUGGGAGGAUGAUCCCCCACACUGGUACUGAGACACGGACCAGACUCCUACGGGAGGCAGCAGUGAGGAAUAUUGGUCAAUGGGCGGAAGCCUGAACCAGCCAUGCCGCGUGCAGGACGACGGCCCUACGGGUUGUAAACUGCUUUUCCGGGGGAAGAAUAACCCCCCUGCGGGGGGGGAUGCCGGUACCCCGGGAAUAAGGAUCGGCUAACUCCGUGCCAGCAGCCGCGGUAAUACGGAGGAUCCUAGCGUUAUCCGGAUUUACUGGGUUUAAAGGGUGCGUAGGCGGGCGUUUAAGUCCGCGGUGAAAGUCUGCGGCUCAACCGUAGGAUUGCCGUGGAUACUGGACGUCUUGGAUUCGGUCGGGGCGGGCGGAAUGCGUGGUGUAGCGGUGAAAUGCAUAGAUAUCACGCAGAACGCCGAUAGCGAAGGCAGCUCGCCGGGCCGACAUCGACGCUGAGGCACGAAAGCGUGGGGAUCAAACAGGAUUAGAUACCCUGGUAGUCCACGCCGUAAA
rnacentral:rRNA from 1 species